rnacentral:rRNA from 1 species
GCAGGCCUAACACAUGCAAGUCGAGCGCAGUCCUUCGGGACCGAGCGGCGGACGGGUGAGUAACGCGUAGGAAUCUACCCAGUAGUGGGGGAUAGCCCGGGGAAACUCGGAUUAAUACCGCAUACGCCCUACGGGGGAAAGGCCGGGAUCUUCGGACCGGUCGCUAUUGGAUGAGCCUGCGUUGGAUUAGCUAGUUGGUAGGGUAAAGGCCUACCAAGGCGACGAUCCAUAGCUGGUCUGAGAGGAUGAUC